AUGAAAACCUGCCUAUCCCAUAUAAUUAGAGACCACUCCCUUGAUUUUAUCUGUUUGCAAGAAACCUUAAAAAAGAAUUUCCUGGAGAAUUCUUUUAGGAAACUUGACCCAUAUAAUUUGUUUGAGUGGGAACGGAUCCCCUCAAUUGGUAAGGCCGGGGGCAUUCUAUGUGGGGUCAGAAAAGAGAAGUUUGAAGUAGUUGCUUGGAGGAAAGGCAGAUUCAUUCUGCAGGUGUCUCUUUAUGAUAUCAACAUGAAGAAAAUCUGGACACUUUGUACUGUGUAUGGAGCGGCUCAUGAGUGUGACAAAAGUGAUUUCCUUAGUGAAUUGGCUGAUUUCUGC
rnacentral:rRNA from 1 species